rnacentral:rRNA from 1 species
UACGGGGGGGGCAAGCGUUGUUCGGAAUUACUGGGCGUAAAGGGCUCGUAGGUGGCCAAUUAAGUCAGACGUGAAAUCCCCAAGCUUAACUUGGGAACUGCGUCUGAUACUGAGUGGCUUGAAUUCGGGAGAGGGAUGUGGAAUUCCAGGUGUAGCGGUGAAAUGCGUAGAUAUCUGGAGGAACACCGGUGGCGAAGGCGGCAUCCUGGACCGACAUUGACGCUGAGGCGCGAAAGCCAGGGGAGCAAACGGG